rnacentral:lncRNA from 1 species
GUGCGUGCAACCCUAGGCUCGCGCACAUGCGCGGUGCCACACACAUGUCACUCGUGUUUUGCGCGCAUGCCGCACAUGCUGUUUCAUGUGUGUGAGUCUCCUACUUGUGCGGGUGGGCUCCCAUGCUUGUUACUCACGUGUCAAAGAUAGUUUAUACAUGUUGCAUGUGUCUUCCACUGUCGCACUGGACUUUGGGCAUUUCUUUGUGCUUCAUCAAUGAUUGUGUUGCUUACCCAGUCUUGUAUUAUAAGAUUAAAAAUUCCUUGAAGCUUGCUAGUGCAGCUUUGGGUGAUUGAGCCCUCAAGCAACUAGGCUUGUCUCCCCAUUAGCCCUAGUUAGUCAUGGGCUUCAGUGUCCUUCGUGUCUUCCUCUUUUAUCGGAAUAUUCUUUGUGAUGGUUCUCGUGUCACAUGU